rnacentral:rRNA from 1 species
UCUGGCGAGGACGGCGCCGCCGACGCGCUCAUCGACGCCGCCUGGGCCAUGCAGAAUGUCUACAGCGACCUCUUCCUGCUCGAGAACCAGCUCCCCUUCUUCGUCCUCGAGCGCUUCUACGCCAUCGCCACCGGCGGCCGAGGCCGCGACCACCUCGUCACCAGCCUCCUCGCCAAGUACCUCACCGUCGAGACACCGCAGGACGCCGCCACGGCGAAGCCCCCCGACGGCGAGAUCCUCCACCUGCUGCACCUCUACUACCACUGGUUCCUCCCACCACAAGACGAGGACGCCGCCGUCCCUCCCGCUGGCGGCAACAACAAGGUCACCGAGGAGGAGGAGGCGUUCAACGAGUGGCUGGCCAAGCCCAUGGACGAGCGCUUGCCGUGGCUGCUCCCCUCGGCGUCGGAGCUGGAGGACGCCGGCGUCACGUUCCGGGCCAAGAAGUCCCCCCGGAGCCUCGUCGACGUGACGUUCCGCGCCCGCGACGGCGUGCUCGAGAUCCCGGCCGUGGAGAGCUACACGAACCGCGCCAUGUUCGCCAACCUCCUCGCGUACGAGCAGAGCCGGGGCCGGUGGGAGCUGCAGCGCCUGAUGAGCUACGUGGUGCUCAUGGCGUCGGUGGCAUCGCACGGGCGGCGCGACGUGGACAUCCUGCAGCGGGCCGGGGUGUUCGUCAAGGGGGACGAGGAGACGGCGGCGUUCUACGCGCACCUUGGUGAGCUCUGCGGCGGUGCCGCCGCGGGCACGCCGGGCGUCGCCAACAACUGCUACGCCGACAUGUUCCGCGACGUGAGGGAGUACUGCGGCCGCAGCUGGAACAGGCACCGCGCCGUGCUCGCUCACGACUACUUCAGCAACCCGUGGACGAGCAUGUCCGCCGCCGCCGCCGUGCUCCUGCUCGUCCUCACCGUCGUGCAGACCGUGUACACCGUGCUGCCGUAUUACCACCCUUAA